rnacentral:rRNA from 1 species
CCUACGGGAGGCAGCAGUGGGGAAUUUUGGACAAUGGGGGCAACCCUGAUCCAGCCAUGCCGCGUGCGGGAAGAAGGCCUUCGGGUUGUAAACCGCUUUCGGCCGGAACGAAAUCGCCGGGGAGAACAUCCCCGGUGGAUGACGGUACCGGAAGAAGGAGCACCGGCUAACUACGUGCCAGCAGCCGCGGUAAUACGUAGGGUGCGAGCGUUAAGUGGAAUUACUGGGCGUGAAGCGCUAGGAGGGAGUUGAAAUCCCCGGGCUUAACCUGGGAACUGCGUUUGUGACUGGCUGGCUGGAGUGCGGAAGAGGGAGGUGGAAUUCCACGUGUAGCAGUGAAAUGCGUAGAGAUGUGGAGGAACACCGAUGGCGAAGGCAGCCUCCUGGUCUAGCACUGACGCUCAUGCACGAAAGCGUGGGGAGCAAACAGGAUUAGAUACCCCAGUAGUC